UACGGAAGGCCCGAGCGUUAAUCGGAAUCACUGGGCUUAAAGCGUGCGCAGGCGGAACGGAGGGCGCCUUGGGAAAUCCCACGACUCAACCGGGGAGUUGCUGGGCGAACCGCCGUUCUUGAGGCAGGUAGGGGUCAGCGGAACUAUGGGUGGAGCGGUGAAAUGCGUAGAUAUCCAUGGGAACGCCGAUGGCGAAGGCAGCUGACUUGGCCUGUCCUGACGCGCAGGCACGAAAGCGUGGGUAGCAAACGGG
rnacentral:rRNA from 1 species